AACUUUCGGCAACGGAUCACUUGGUUCCGGCAUCGAUGAAGAACGCAGCGAAAUGCGAUAGGUAAUGUGAAUUGCAGAAUUCCGUGAAUCAUCGAGUCUUUGAACGCACAUUGCGCCCCAUGGCAUUCCGUGGGGCACGCCUGUUCGAGCGUCAUUUCAACCAUCAAGCCCGGCUUGGUCUUGGGCCCCUGCCCCCGCUCGCGCGCGGGGCGGGCCUCAAUGGCGUUGGCGGAGCGGCGCGACCCCCCGAGCGUGACGGAUUCACGGCGACGGGGGUGCGGCCGGCGGCCCAACCGUUCUCUCCAGGUUGACCUCGGAUCAGGCGGGGAUACCCGCUGAACUUAAGCAUAUCAAUAAGCGGAGGCU
rnacentral:misc_RNA from 1 species